rnacentral:rRNA from 1 species
CCUACGGGGGGCGGCAGUGGGGAAUUUUGGACAAUGGGGGCAACCCUGAUCCAGCCAUUCCGCGUGAGUGAAGAAGGCCUUCGGGUUGUAAAGCUCUUUCGGCAGGAACGAAAAGGCGGGCUCUAACAUAGCCUGUCAAUGACGGUACCUGAAGAAGAAGCACCGGCUAACUACGUGCCAGCAGCCCCGGUC